CAGCCGCCACGGUAAUACGUAGGUGGCAAGCGUUGUCCGGAAUUAUUGGGCGUAAAGGGCUCGCAGGCGGUUUCUUAAGUCUGAUGUGAAAGCCCCCGGCUCAACCGGGGAGGGUCAUUGGAAACUGGGAAACUUGAGUGCAGAAGAGGAGAGUGGAAUUCCACGUGUAGCGGUGAAAUGCGUAGAGAUGUGGAGGAACACCAGUGGCGAAGGCGACUCUCUGGUCUGUAACUGACGCUGAGGAGCGAAAGCGUGGGGAGCGAACAGGAUUAGAUACCCCCGUAGUCCCUGUCUCUUAUAU
rnacentral:rRNA from 1 species